CCUACGGGUGGCUGCAGUGGGGAAUAUUGGGCAAUGGGCGCAAGCCUGACCCAGCCAUGCCGCGUGAGUGAUGAAGGCCUUCGGGUCGUAAAGCUCUGUGGGAAGGGACGAAAAAAACGGGUCUAAUACACCCGGGCUUGACGGUACCUUCUUAGCAAGCACCGGCUAACUCCGUGCCAGCAGCCGCGGUAAUACGGAGGGUGCAAACGUUGCUCGGAAUCAUUGGGCGUAAAGCGCACGUAGGCGGUCGGCUAUGUCGGAUGUGAAAGCCUCGG
rnacentral:rRNA from 1 species